GACGAACGCUGGCGGCGUGCUUAACACAUGCAAGUCGAACGGAAAGGCCCUGCUUUUGUGGGGUGCUCGAGUGGCGAACGGGUGAGUAACACGUGAGUAACCUGCCCUUGACUUUGGGAUAACUUCAGGAAACUGGGGCUAAUACCGGAUAGGAGCUCCUGCUGCAUGGUGGGGGUUGGAAAGUUUCGGCGGUUGGGGAUGGACUCGCGGCUUAUCAGCUUGUUGGUGGGGUAGUGGCUUACCAGGGCUUUGACGGGUAGCCGGCCUGAGAGGGUGACCGGCCGCAUUGGGACUGAGAUACGGCCCAGACUCCUACGGGAGGCAGCAGUGGGGAAUAUUGCACAAUGGGCGGAAGCCUGAUGCAGCAACGCCGCGUGCGGGAUGACGGCCUUCGGGUUGUAAACCGCUUUCGCCUGUGACGAAGCGUGAGUGACGGUAAUGGGUAAAGAAGCACCGGCUAACUACGUG
rnacentral:rRNA from 1 species